rnacentral:sRNA from 1 species
CCUAAACAUGUCGCACAAAGUAAAAGUCAUUUAAACACAAAAUAAAGCAAAAAAAGCUACGGUCAUAUGCGACUCGAAUGUAUCAUCCACAAUUGAUCUUCGGGAAAUUGAUGACAGACUAAAUGACAUGCUGUCAACGUAUGAAGAAGCUCCCAUAGAGCCUGCUGAAAGAAAACGAACACGCUCUCGAAAAAUUCCUGUUCCUUUCCUCCCGGAAAUUGGUUGCGACAAUUGUGGGGCUUUGAAGCAUUGCUUGAAACGUGAAAGCCCUGCGACGUUUAGCAAAUCGAUUGGAUGCCCUACAAUGAUAGAGGAUGCUGAAAGACAAGAGGAAAACCCAUGGAUACUUGAUCUAAGUUAGUUUGCCGAAAAAGGGAGAAAAGCUUCGGCAUAUCCUUUUGUAAAACUUCACGCGCUAUUCCGACGAGUAAAUUUAAUCCAAAAGCUUUGUUUUUUCCCUCUAUAUUUUUGCACUGCGUAUUAAAACUUCAGAACAAACGAACAAACUAAAAUCGAUUGGAAUUUGGAAAACAUCAAGUGCGCCAGAGUUUCAUUUGAAAAUCCAAAACAGUAGAGGUUGGAAAUCAUCGAUAGAUACAAACAUCGGUGUUUGGGAAGCGGAAAAGUUACUAUAUAUAAUUCUUGCUCAAAAAUACGUAAAAUACGUACACCUCGCAGGGCUUCAAAGAAUUCCCGCCAUACUCUCAGGAAAGGGGACAAUAUCCAUCCCAGUCUCGAAUUAUAUGCACAUAUGUCGCAUCAUGUUGGCGGACCUGGUGAACAACCUGAUUUUGGCUUCUACACUACAGUUCAAACAGUGUUGAAAACUAAAAUGAAAUCACACUGGCGGUAUUUUCCAAUUUAGAGCUCAUAUACAUUUUAUUUAUACAUAUUUUUUUUUAUAAGUUUAUUCUGCCUUGUUUGGCGUUUCGUUUCAGCUUCUUGCUAAAGACUGAAAAUAAAAUACGGAAAACCCUUUAAUAUAUGAAAAAAUCAAGCUAGCUCACCA